GCAGCACCAAAUGCGGCUUGCCAUCCCUUUUGCGGUCCAUUUUCAUGAAGAUAAAAAGAAAAAAAAAAUGGAACCGUCCAAUCCCGACUUAACUGAUGGUGGGUGGUAGAGAGAAGCCGGCAACCAAUGGCUUUAGGCAGAGAGAGGCUGAUGAUUCGCCUAUUGAAGCCUCCCGUUGGCUGCCAAACUAGAAUAAGGUGAGGAGGAUGCCAAUUUUGCCCCCCCUUUCUUCAGGAGGAAGGAGAUAAUGGCUAAUGGACUUUCAGGUUUGGAGUUUCGACUCGAAACCCAAACCCGAUCUGCUGAUUUGGGUUAUGUAGGAAAUUUUCAUUUUAGUGCUUGCA
rnacentral:lncRNA from 1 species